rnacentral:rRNA from 1 species
GACGAACGCUGGCGGCGUGCCUAAUACAUGCAAGUAGAACGCACAGUUUAUACCGUAGCUUGCUACACCAUAGACUGUGAGUUGCGAACGGGUGAGUAACGCGUAGGUAACCUGCCUGGUAGCGGGGGAGAACUAUUGGAAACGAUAGCUAAUACCGCAUAAUAUUAAUUAUUGCAUGAUAAUUAAUUGAAAGGUGCAAUUGCACCACUACCAGAUGGACCUGCGUUGUAUUAGCUAGUAGGUGAGGUAACGGCUCACCUAGGCGACGAUACAUAGCCGACCUGAGAGGGUGAUCGGCCACACUGGGACUGAGACACGGCCCAGACUCCUACGGGAGGCAGCAGUAGGGAAUCUUCGGCAAUGGACGAAAGUCUGACCGAGCAACGCCGCGUGAGUGAAGAAGGUUUUCGGAUCGUAAAGCUCUGUUGUAAGAGAAGAACGGGUGUGAGAGUGGAAAGUUCACACUGUGACGGUAUCUUACCAGAAAGGGACGGCUAACUACGUG